rnacentral:rRNA from 1 species
GAUGAACGCUGGCGGCGUGCCUAAUACAUGCAAGUCGAGCGAACAGACGAGGAGCUUGCUCCUUUGACGUUAGCGGCGGACGGGUGAGUAACACGUAGGUAACCUACCUAUAAGACUGGGAUAACUUCGGGAAACCGGAGCUAAUACCGGAUAAUAUUUCGAACCGCAUGCUUCGAUAGUGAAAGAUGGCUUUGCUAUCACUUAUAGAUGGACCUGCGCCGUAUUAGCUAGUUGGUAAGGUAACGGCUUACCAAGGCAACGAUACGUAGCCGACCUGAGAGGGUGAUCGGCCACACUGGAACUGAGACACGGUCCAGACUCCUACGGGAGGCAGCAGUAGGGAAUCUUCCGCAAUGGGCGAAAGCCUGACGGAGCAACGCCGCGUGAGUGAUGAAGGUCUUCUGAUCGUAAAACUCUGUUAUUAGGGAAGAACAAACGUGUAAGUAACUGUGCACGUCUUGACGGUACCUAAUCAGAAAGCCACGGCUAACUACGUG